UACGUAGGGUGCGAGCGUUAAUCGGAAUUACUGGGCGUAAAGCGUGCGCAGGCGGUUUUGUAAGCCAGAUGUGAAAUCCCCGGGCUUAACCUGGGAAUGGCAUUUGGGACUGCAAGGCUUGAGUGCGGCAGAGGAGACUGGAAUUCCUGGUGUAGCAGUGAAAUGCGUAGAUAUCAGGAGGAACACCGAUGGCGAAGGGCAGGUCUCUGGGCUGACACUGACGCUCAUGCACGAAAGCGUGGGGAGCAA
rnacentral:rRNA from 1 species